CGGUAAGGCCCCUUCGGGGGUACACGAGUGGCGAACGGGUGAGUAACACGUGAGUAACCUGCCCUUGACUCUGGGAUAACAGCUGGAAACAGCUGCUAAUACCGGAUACGAACCUCUUAGGCAUCUUCGAGGUUGGAAAGUUCCGGCGGUCAAGGAUGGACUCGCGGCCUAUCAGCUUGUUGGUGAGGUAACGGCUCACCAAGGCGACGACGGGUAGCCGGCCUGAGAGGGCGACCGGCCACAUUGGGACUGAGAUACGGCCCAAACUCCUACGGGAGGCAGCAGUGGGGAAUAUUGCACAAUGGGCGAAAGCCUGAUGCAGCAACGCCGCGUGCGGGAAGACGGCCUUCGGGUUGUAAACCGCUUUCAGUAGGGACGAAGCUAACGUGACGGUACCUACAGAAGAAGCACCGGCUAACUACGUGCCAGCAGCCGCGGUGAUACGUAGGGUGCGAGCGUUGUCCGGAAUUAUUGGGCGUAAAGAGCUUGUAGGCGGUUUGUCACGUCGGGAGUGAAAACUCGGGGCUUAACCCCGAGCCUGCUUCCGAUACGGGCUGACUUGAGGAAGGUAGGGGAGAAUGGAAUUCCUGGUGAAGCGGUGGAAUGCGUAGAUAUCAGGAGGAACACCAGUGGCGAAGGCGGUUCUCUGGACCUUUCCUGACGCUGAGAAGCGAAAGCGUGGGGAGCAAACAGGCUUAGAUACCCUGGUAGUCCACGCCGUAAACGGUGGGUACUAGGUGUGGGGAACAUUCCACGUUCUCCGUGCCGCAGCUAACGCAUUAAGUACCCCGCCUGGGGAGUACGGCCGCAAGGCUAAAACUCAAAGGAAUUGACGGGGCCCCGCACAAGCGGCGGAGCAUGCGGAUUAAUUCGAUGCAACGCGAAGAACCUUACCUGGGUUUGACAUAUACCGGAAACAUCUAGAGAUAGGUGCCCCUUUUUGGUCGGUAUACAGGUGGUGCAUGGCUGUCGUCAGCUCGUGUCGUGAGAUGUUGGGGUUAAGUCCCGCAACGAGCGCAACCCUCGUCCUAUGUUGCCAGCGGAUAAUGCCGGGGACUCAUAGGAGACCGCCGGGGUCAACUCGGAAGAAAGUGGGGGAUGACGUCAAGUCAUCAUGCCCCCUUAUGUCCCAGGGCUUCACGCAUGGCUACAAUGGGCCGGUACAAAGAGCUGCGAACCUGCAAGGGUGACCGAAUCUCAAAAAGCCGGGUCUCAAUUUCGGAAUGGGGGUCUGCAACUCGACCCCCUGAAAUUCGGAAUCCCUUGGU
rnacentral:rRNA from 1 species